rnacentral:rRNA from 1 species
AUUGAACGCUGGCGGCAGGCCUAACACAUGCAAGUCGAACGAGUGGCGGACGGGUGAGUAAUGUCUGGGAAACUGCCUGAUGGAGGGGGAUAAAUACUGGAAACGGAAGCUAAUACCGCAUACCAUCGGAUGUGCCCAGCUGGGAUUAGCUAGUUGGUGGGGUAAAGGCACACCUAGGCGACGAUCCCUAGCUGGUCUGAGAGGAUUACCAGCCACACUGGAACUGAGACACGGUCCAUACUCCUACGGGAGGCAGCAGUGGGGAAUAUUGCACUAUGGGCGAAAGUCUGAUGCAGCCAUGCCGCGUGUAUGAAGAAGGCCUUCGGGUUGUAAAGUACUUUCAGCGGGGAGGCGUUACCCACAGAAGAAGCACCGGCUAACUCCGUGCCAGCAGCCGCGGUAAUAG